rnacentral:rRNA from 1 species
UACAGAGGUCUCAAGCGUUGUUCGGAAUCACUGGGCGUAAAGGGUGCGUAGGCUGUGUUGUAAGUCAGAGGUGAAAUCCCGGGGCUCAACCCCGGAACUGCCUCCGAUACUGCAAGACUUGAGGACUGGAGAGGAGAUUGGAAUUCAUGGUGGAGCAGUGAAAUGCGUAGAUAUCAUGAGGAACGCUAGUGGCGUAGGCGAAUCUCUGGACAGUUCCUGACGCUGAGGCACGAAGGCCAGGGGAGCAAACGGG